rnacentral:rRNA from 1 species
CCUACGGGGGGCAGCAGUGGGGAAUCUUCCGCAAUGGGCGAAAGCCUGACGCAGCGACGCCGCGUGAGGGAUGAAGGUCUUCGGAUCGUAAACCUCUGUCAGCAGGGAAGAACGGUCACUGUGCUAAUCAGCAGUGAAUUGACGGUACCUGCAAAGGAAGCACCGGCUAACUCCGUGCCAGCAGCCGCGGUAAUACGGAGGGUGCGAGCGUUAAUCGGAAUUACUGGGCGUAAAGCGCUCGUAGGCGGUAUGUCAAGUCAAGGGUGAAAUCCCCGCGCUUAACGGGGGUACUGCCUUUGAAACUGGGAGACUGGAGUGUAGAAGAGGAGAGUGGAAUUCCAUGUGUAGGGGUGAAAUGCGUAGAUAUAUGGAAGAACAUCAGUGGCGAAAGCGACUAUCUGGUACGUAACUGACGCUGAGGUUCGAAAGCGUGGGUAGCAAACAGGAUUAGAUACCCGUGUAGUC